CGACUUGUCCCAAAGACUGGUUCAAUCCGCCCCAUGGGGUUCAGGAUGGUGAGAGUUAAUCUCCCUGAAGCGAUAAGUUGUAAUAGUGAAUAACUCAGAGAUUGAUUAGGAGUAAGGAUUGACUCAAUAUCUCUAAGGAAGAUGCUAAAGUUGAGCUUUCCUUGACUUCGUGCUUGAUGCUCGAGUGUCACUUGGGGGCCA
rnacentral:lncRNA from 1 species